UAGGGAAUCUUCCACAAUGGACGCAAGUCUGAUGGAGCAACGCCGCGUGAGUGAAGAAGGUUUUCGGACCGUAAAGCUCUGUUGUUGGUGAAGAAGGAUAGAGGUAGUAACUGGCCUUUAUUUGACGGUAAUCAACCAGAAAGUCACGGCUAACUACGUGCCAGCAGCCGCGGUAAAUCGUAGGUGGCAAGCGUUGUCCGGAUUUAUUGGGCGUAAAGCGAGCGCAGGCGGAAGAAUAAGUCUGAUGUGAAAGCCCUCGGCUUAACCGAGGAAUUGCAUCGGAAACUGUUUUCUUGAGUGCAGAAGAGGAGAGUAGAACUCCAUGUGUAGCGGUGGAAUGCGUAGAUAUAUGGAAGAAUACCAGUGGCGAAGGCGGCUCUCUGGUCUGCAAACUGACGCUGAGGCUCGAAAGCAUGGGUAGCGAACAGGAUUAGAUACCCUGGUAGUCCAUGCCGUAAACGAUGAGUGCUAAGUGUUGGGAGGCUUCCGCCUCUCAGUGCUGCAGCUAACGCAUUAAGCACUCCGCCUGGGGGAGUACGACCGCAAGGUUGAAAC
rnacentral:rRNA from 1 species